UGCCCAGGAAUGAGAAUCGAACCCACAGUGUUCUGCUUACCGGGCAGAUGCCAUGUCCACUAGGCUACCCUGGAC
rnacentral:tRNA from 1 species